GAUGAACGCUGGCGGCGUGCCUAAUACAUGCAAGUCGAGCGAACAGAUGAGAAGCUUGCUUCUCUGAUGUUAGCGGCGGACGGGUGAGUAACACGUGGGUAACCUACCUAUAAGACUGGGAUAACUCCGGGAAACCGGGGCUAAUACCGGAUAAUAUUUUGAACCGCAUGGUUCAAUAGUGAAAGACGGUUUCGGCUGUCACUUAUAGAUGGACCCGCGCCGUAUUAGCUAGUUGGUAAGGUAAUGGCAUACCAAGGCGACGAUACGUAGCCGACCUGAGAGGGUGAUCGGCCACACUGGAACUGAGACACGGUCCAGACUCCUACGGGAGGCAGCAGUAGGGAAUCUUCCGCAAUGGGCGAAAGCCUGACGGAGCAACGCCGCGUGAGUGAUGAAGGUCUUCGGAUCGUAAAACUCUGUUGUUAGGGAAGAACAAAUUUGUUAGUAACUGAACAAGUCUUGACGGUACCUAACCAGAAAGCCACGGCUAACUACGUGCCAGCCGCCGCAGUAA
rnacentral:rRNA from 1 species